rnacentral:lncRNA from 1 species
AUUUAGUUAUGGUUAAAGGAGUCGUCUUUUUUUUUUUUUUUAAAGGGUGGCCAUUGCUAUUCUGCUAUAACAUCAACCAAGCCCUCAAUUUUGUGAGAUUCCUUGAAAGAUUGUGAAAAGUCCAUUUUACGUGGCCGUGUGCUCAUACCAAGUCUAAGGUAAACAAGUUAAAAAUAUCAAAUGUAUAUUGAUAUAUGUGAUU